GGAGUUAGCCGGUGCUUCUUCUGUGAGUGAUGUCCUUCCUGCCGGCUAUUAACCCGCAGGCCUUCUUCCUCACUGAAAGUGCUUUACAACCCGAAGGCCUUCUUCACACACGCGGCAUGGCUGGAUCAGGGUUGCCCCCAUUGUCCAAUAUUCCCCACUGCUGCCUCCCGUAGGAGUCUGGGCCGUGUCUCAGUCCCAGUGUGGCUGAUCAUCCUCUCAGACCAGCUACGGAUCGUCGCCUUGGUGAGCCGUUACCUCACCAACCAGCUAAUCCGACAUAGGCUCAUCCGAUAGCGCGAGGCCCGAAGGUCCCCCGCUUUCCCCCGUAGGGCGUAUGCGGUAUUAGCCUGGGUUUCCCCAGGUUAUCCCCCACUACCGGGCAGAUUCCUAUGCAUUACUCACCCGUCCGCCGCUCGCCACCAGGGAGCAAGCUCCCCGUGCUGCCGCUCGACUUGCAUGUGUUAGGCCUGCCGCCAGCGUUCAAUCUGAGCCAGANCGACCCUACGA
rnacentral:rRNA from 1 species